rnacentral:tRNA from 1 species
GCGGGAAUAGCUCAGAAGGUAGAGUACAACCUUGCCAAGGUUGGGGUCGCGAGUUCGAAUCUCGUUUCCCGCU